rnacentral:rRNA from 1 species
UACGGAAGGCAGCAGUGGGGAAUAUUGCACAAUGGGCGCAAGCCUGAUGCAGCCAUGCCGCGUGUAUGAAAAAGGCCUUCGGGUUGUAAAGUACUUUCAGUCGUGAGGAAGGUGUUAAGGUUAAUAACCUUAGCAAUUGACGUUAGCGACAGAAGAAGCACCGGCUAACUCCGUGCCAGCAGCCGCGGUAAUACGGAGGGUGCGAGCGUUAAUCGGAAUUACUGGGCGUAAAGGGCACGCAGGCGGUUAAUUAAGUUGGAUGUGAAAUCCCCGGGCUUUAACCUGGGAAUGGCAUUCAAGACUGGUUAGCUAGAGUCUUGUAGAGGGGGUAGAAUUCCAUGUGUAGCGGUGAAAUGCGUAGAGAUGUGGAGGAAUACCGGUGGCGAAGGCGGCCCCUGGACAAAGACUGACGCUCAUGUGCGAAAGCGUGGGGAGCAAACAGGGAUUAGAU